rnacentral:rRNA from 1 species
GAUGAACGCUGACAGAAUGCUUAACACAUGCAAGUCAACUUGAACUUCGGUUUGGGUGGCGGACGGGUGAGUAACGCGUAAAGAACUUGCCUCACAGAUAGGGACAACAUUUGGAAACGAAUGCUAAUACCUGAUAUUAUGAUUUUAGGGCAUCCUAGAAUUAUGAAAGCUAUAUGCGCUGUGAGAGAGCUUUGCGUCCCAUUAGCUAGUUGGAGAGGUAACGGCUCACCAAGGCGAUGAUGGGUAGCCGGCCUGAGAGGGUGAUCGGCCACAAGGGGACUGAGACACGGCCCUUACUCCUACGGGAGGCAGCAGUGGGGAAUAUUGGACAAUGGACCAAGAGUCUGAUCCAGCAAUUCUGUGUGCACGAUGAAGUUUUUCGGAAUGUAAAGUGCUUUCAGUUGGGAAGAAAAAAAUGACGGUACCAACAGAAGAAGUGACGGCUAAAUACGUGCCAGCAGCCGCGGUAAUACGUAUGUCACAAGCGUUAUCCGGAUUUAUUGGGCGUAAAGCGCGUCUAGGUGGCUAUGUAAGUCUGAUGUGAAAAUGCAGGGCUCAACUCUGUAUUGCGUUGGAAACUGUGUAACUAGAGUACUGGAGAGGUAAGCGGAACUACAAGUGUAGAGGUGAAAUUCGUAGAUAUUUGUAGGAAUGCCGAUGGGGAAGCCAGCUUACUGGACAGAUACUGACGCUGAAGCGCGAAAGCGUGGGUAGCAAACAGG